rnacentral:rRNA from 1 species
UACGUAGGGUGCGAGCGUUGUCCGGAAUUAUUGGGCGUAAAGGGCUCGUAGGCGGUUUGUCGCGUCGGGAGUGAAAACCUCGGGCUUAACUCGGGGCUUGCUUUCGAUACGGGCAGACUGGAGGUAUGCAGGGGAGAACGGAAUUCCUGGUGUAGCGGUGAAAUGCGCAGAUAUCAGGAGGAACACCGGUGGCGAAGGCGGUUCUCUGGGCAUGAUCUGACGCUGAGGAGCGAAAGUGUGGGGAGCGAACAGG